UUGAUUGUAUUCAAAUUUUUAUUUUUUGAACAAACAUUUAAGACAAUGAUUUUAAAUAAUAAAACAUGGUAUAUAUUCUAGACAAUGUUUUUUUUUUAAAGAUUAUUUAUUAAAUUUAGACUCCUAUAGUUCUGUUGUGAUGCUUUCUUCAACAUUUAUAUUAUUUCUUACCAUUUUAUCAUCACUCCAAGCUUGCUAAACAAAGAACCACUCUGCUUAAGUGAAGCUUUACAUUAAGGAAAUACUCCACUAGCACACUGAACAAACCUACAGAACUGUCCUAUUUUAUAUUUACAAAACACAAGAAGUCUGUCCAGCCAUUUUGGUUUUGUUGUUACACUGUCCAUAAUGAGAUCAGCAGAAAGCUAAGUAAUACACAAGUUUACACUUCGGCAGUGCAAAGGAUGGCAUCAACCAAACUUCAUUAAACAGACCAACAAGUACAAACAUGGUGAGCAAAGUUCAACUCAGGUCAUAGUGAUUAAAAACAAAACAUGUAGUGGGUCACAACCAGACUGGUUUUAACUGUGCAACUUUCCUCAGGGAACAAUUCCCAUUCACAGAAAGAAAGGAAUAUGCAUCCAAGCCUUUGUUCAUAAAGAAAAUGCCCUUCAAACAAAUUCAUCAUAAGGCUAAAAAAAAAAAAAAAAAAAAAAAAGGAAGAAAAAAGGACGAAGCAGUUUGGCCCAGAGAAAAGCUUAAAUACAAUGUGUAUACAUACUUAUAGAUAUGUUGCCAUUUAAACCAUGGAUAUAGACAUUUGACAAUUAAAUGAAUUGGCUCAGUAGAGUGAAAAGUGUUUUCUAUGAAUAUGUAGUUAUUGCUAAUAUGCUACACAUUAUGCUUUGACAUGGAGACUGUAGUAACUCAGAAUUUACAGCUGCCAUAUUGCCAGUAUUAGCCCUGCAGUAGGCAUUCCUAUGGACAACAUGCCAUCCAAUCCUGAAGAAAAAGCAAAACACCACUACUAAACAAAGAAAAGGCUUAUGCACUGUCCCUUACAUUUUUGUUUUUUUUUUUUUUUAAAAAAAACAAAAACAAAAAAAAAACAAAAACAAGUCCAGUUCACCACAAGUUAAGCACAACCUGGUGAGCAAGUUUAGCGGCAUGAUGGGGAGAAAACAGUGGGGUACAGCAUGCAUUUACAACCAGCACUGAUCUAGUCUAUUUUGUCAUAUAAACUGGAAUACAAAAAUCCAAUUUAAAUAAGACUAGACUAACUAUAAUAGUAAAAAAAAAAAAAAAAAAAACACACACAGUAGACUUAGUUUGAUACUGAUUAAUUUUAAGAGUAAACUCAUCUUAUCCCCUCUUAAUACUCUACUGCAAUUUAUUUAUUGAUGGCUAGAAUAUUUACUGACUUAAAAAAGAUAUUAAAUACUUGUAUCAUGAAAUUACAUUCUUAUUAACAAUAAGACAUACUGUGUAAGAAAAUAGCUCAUGUGUGAAAUGUGUCUGAAAUGCAUUUUUUCCUUACAACUAUC
rnacentral:lncRNA from 1 species